GAUUCGUCACACUAUCAUUAACUGAAUCCAUAGGUUAAUGAGGCGAACCGGGGGAACUGAAACAUCUAAGUACCCCGAGGAAAAGAAAUCAACCGAGAUUCCCCCAGUAGCGGCGAGCGAACGGGGAGGAGCCCAGAGCCUGAAUCAGCAUGUGUGUUAGUGGAAGCGUCUGGAAAGGCGCGCGAUACAGGGUGACAGCCCCGUACACAAAAGCGCAUGUGCUGUGAGCUCGAUGAGUAGGGCGGGACACGUGGUAUCCUGUCUGAAUAUGGGGGGACCAUCCUCCAAGGCUAAAUACUCCUGACUGACCGAUAGUGAACCAGUACCGUGAGGGAAAGGCGAAAAGAACCCCGGCGAGGGGAGUGAAAAAGAACCUGAAACCGUGUACGUACAAGCAGUGGGAGCACAGGUUUACCUGUGUGACUGCGUACCUUUUGUAUAAUGGGUCAGCGACUUAUAUUCUGUAGCAAGGUUAACCGUAUAGGGGAGCCGGAGGGAAACCGAGUCUUAACCGGGCGUUAAGUUGCAGGGUAUAGACCCGAAACCCGGUGAUCUAGCCAUGGGCAGGUUGAAGGUUGGGUAACACUAACUGGAGGACCGAACCGACUAAUGUUGAAAAAUUAGCGGAUGACCUGUGGCUGGGGGUGAAAGGCCAAUCAAACCGGGAGAUAGCUGGUUCUCCCCGAAAGCUAUUUAGGUAGCGCCUCGUGAAUUCAUCUCCGGGGGUAGAGCACUGUUUCGGCUAGGGGGCCAUCCCGGCUUACCAACCCGAUGCAAACUGCGAAUACCGGAGAAUGUUAUCACGGGAGACACACGGCGGGUGCUAACGUCCGUCGUGAAGAGGGAAACAACCCAGACCGCCAGCUAAGGUCCCAAAGUCAUGGUUAAGUGGGAAACGAUGUGGGAAGGCCCAGACAGCCAGGAUGUUGGCUUAGAAGCAGCCAUCAUUUAAAGAAAGCGUAAUAGCUCACUGGUCGAGUCGGCCUGCGCGGAAGAUGUAACGGGGCUAAACCAUGCACCGAAGCUGCGGCAGCGAACGUAUCACCCAAGACAACUUUACGGAGUUGACGAUUGACGGAGCGAAGCGACGUCAAAGCGUUCAUUAAAGUCGAGUUGGCUUAGGGAUACGUUCGUUGGGUAGGGGAGCGUUCUGUAAGCCUGUGAAGGUGUGUCGUGAGGCAUGCUGGAGGUAUCAGAAGUGCGAAUGCUGACAUAAGUAACGAUAAAGCGGGUGAAAAGCCCGCUCGCCGGAAGACCAAGGGUUCCUGUCCAACGUUAAUCGGGGCAGGGUGAGUCGACCCCUAAGGCGAGGCCGAAAGGCGUAGUCGAUGGGAAACGGGUUAAUAUUCCCGUACUUGGUGUUACUGCGAAGGGGGGACGGAGAAGGCUAUGUUGGCCGGGCGACGGUUGUCCCGGUUUAAGCGUGUAGGUGUGUGUUCCAGGUAAAUCCGGUUCACUUUAACACUGAGGCGUGACGACGAGGCACUACGGUGCUGAAGCAACAAAUGCCCUGCUUCCAGGAAAAGCCUCUAAGCAUCAGGUAACACGAAAUCGUACCCCAAACCGACACAGGUGGUCAGGUAGAGAAUACCAAGGCGCUUGAGAGAACUCGGGUGAAGGAACUAGGCAAAAUGGUGCCGUAACUUCGGGAGAAGGCACGCUGACACGUAGGUGAAGUGAUUUACUCAUGGAGCUGAAGUCAGUCGAAGAUACCAGCUGGCUGCAACUGUUUAUUAAAAACACAGCACUGUGCAAACACGAAAGUGGACGUAUACGGUGUGACGCCUGCCCGGUGCCGGAAGGUUAAUUGAUGGGGUCAGCGCAAGCGAAGCUCCUGAUCGAAGCCCCGGUAAACGGCGGCCGUAACUAUAACGGUCCUAAGGUAGCGAAAUUCCUUGUCGGGUAAGUUCCGACCUGCACGAAUGGCGUAAUGAUGGCCAGGCUGUCUCCACCCGAGACUCAGUGAAAUUGAACUCGCUGUGAAGAUGCAGUGUACCCGCGGCAAGACGGAAAGACCCCGUGAACCUUUACUAUAGCUUGACACUGAACAUUGAGCCUUGAUGUGUAGGAUAGGUGGGAGGCUUUGAAGUGUGGACGCCAGUCUGCAUGGAGCCGACCUUGAAAUACCACCCUUUAAUGUUUGAUGUUCUAACGUGGACCCGUAAUCCGGGUUGCGGACAGUGUCUGGUGGGUAGUUUGACUGGGGCGGUCUCCUCCUAAAGAGUAACGGAGGAGCACGAAGGUUGGCUAAUCCUGGUCGGACAUCAGGAGGUUAGUGCAAUGGCAUAAGCCAGCUUGACUGCGAGCGUGACGGCGCGAGCAGGUGCGAAAGCAGGUCAUAGUGAUCCGGUGGUUCUGAAUGGAAGGGCCAUCGCUCAACGGAUAAAAGGUACUCCGGGGAUAACAGGCUGAUACCGCCCAAGAGUUCAUAUCGACGGCGGUGUUUGGCACCUCGAUGUCGGCUCAUCACAUCCUGGGGCUGAAGUAGGUCCCAAGGGUAUGGCUGUUCGCCAUUUAAAGUGGUACGCGAGCUGGGUUUAGAACGUCGUGAGACAGUUCGGUCCCUAUCUGCCGUGGGCGCUGGAGAACUGAGGGGGGCUGCUCCUAGUACGAGAGGACCGGAGUGGACGCAUCACUGGUGUUCGGGUUGUCAUGCCAAUGGCACUGCCCGGUAGCUAAAUGCGGAAGAGAUAAGUGCUGAAAGCAUCUAAGCACGAAACUUGCCCCGA
rnacentral:rRNA from 1 species